rnacentral:rRNA from 1 species
UACGUAGGGUGCGAGCGUUAAUCGGAAUUACUGGGCGUAAAGCGUGCGCAGGCGGUUUUGUAAGCCAGAUGUGAAAGCCCCGGGCUUAACCUGGGAAUGGCAUUUGGGACUGCAAGGCUUGAGUGCGGCAGAGGAGACUGGAAUUCCUGGUGUAGCAGUGAAAUGCGCAGAUAUCAGGAGGAACACCGAUGGCGAAGGCAGGUCUCUGGGCCAUAACUGACGCUGAGAAGCGAAAGCAUGGGGAGCGAACAGG